rnacentral:rRNA from 1 species
AUACGAAGGGGGCUAGCGUUGUUCGGAAUUACUGGGCGUAAAGCGCACGUAGGUGGACUGAUCAGUUGAGGGUGAAAUCCCGGGGCUCAACCUCGGAACUGCCUUCAAUACUGUCAGUCUUGAGUCCGAGAGAGGUUAGUGGAAUUCCUAGUGUAGAGGUGAAAUUCGUAGAUAUUAGGAAGAACACCAGUGGCGAAGGCGGCUAACUGGCUCGGUACUGACGCUGAGGUGCGAAAGCGUGGGGAGCAAACAGGAUUAGAUACCCCGGUAGUCC